ensembl:lncRNA
UUUUACUCUGUAGCCAUUAUAUACACUUAGCAAACAAGUACUAACUUAUUUUAGAAUAAUACUGGAACCAGGUUUGCUCCUGUCACUUAAACCAAUCAAAGCAUACUGAGUCUACUGACUCUGUACCUUCUUUACUUUGUUCUCAAUCAUUUUUACCAGUAAAAAGACAAUUUUGCAUUUUUUGCUUUUUGGUUUUGUUAUCAUCUGUGAACAAGCAAACUCAUAACAAAAAUCUGCAUUGUAAUACAGAUCACAAUAUUAGGAAUUAGAACUUCAUUCUUUCCUUUUGCUGCAUAAAACAAAAACACCAGGGAAACAACUACUUCAUUUUAUUGUAAUUAUUCUCAUUUAGUCAUAUAUUUUUUAUAAUUAUUCUGUGCAGAUGACGACGACGAUGAAGACAGUAUUUAUCACAAGGGCUCUGUGUGCUCAUAUUGUGAAUUCUGUGAGCACUGUGACAGCUGUGAUAAAUGUCCUUGUGAGGAGGGAGACACCUCCGAGCACUGUGAUGACUGCAAGAUGUGCAGUUUCUGCAAUGUGUGUCCUGUUUGCCAAACCGUUUGUAAGCCUGGUGAGUAAAUUCUCUGUCACCACUAUGAAUAUAUAUGGAACGACAUUGCAAAAGGAAAGUUUCUUUGUUUCAGUUUAUCUGGUCAUCACUCUUAAAUUAGAGGAAGCUUAGAGUUUGGCACUUUAUAUAGAGUCAUGUCCUGUUUUGGGGAAUCAUCAUAUUUUCCGUUUGCUAUAUUAUGCUCAAGUCUUAGAUUUAGUCUCUUUAGUCUGAUAUUGUUUCCAUGGUACUCGUGUGUUUACUAUCUUAGCUUCUAGUCAUCUUCCUGGUUGUGCAUACUUAGGUAUGAUCUUUAGUACCCUGCUUGCUUUUUGUUUAUUUUGUAUUCCUUCGGUCUGGUCCCUGUGUUUCUUUAUGUCUUCUGUGUUUCCUUGAAGUCUGUCAUGUCUCCAUAGUUUUUCUUCUGUCUAUGUCAGGUUUGUAUGUCUCACAUUACUUCUGGUUUUCCCCUGUGCAUUUAUUAAUGUGAACAUUAAGAUCCAAAUCUUGAUUUAUUAAACAUUAUUUAUAAAUAAUUGAUGUGUUUUCAUUACUGUUUUCUAUAUUGUCCUCUGUUGUCCAUUCUUGUUGUCACUGUUUGUUCUAAUAUGAUGUGAUCACUGGUUUUUGUCCUUGUCUCUAUAUACAUGGUCUGUAAAUAGUGUCUCUGUAUGUUGCUAUUAACCUGUGUGUAAAUCAACCUGCCAGAGGGUCUACAGAUGGAAAUUAGCCUAAGGCUAUAAUCUGGCAUAUUUACAUUUGUUAAAAUGUUCAUUAGUAUGUAUUGUCCCUCUUUCUAAUAAAAAAAGGAAAUAUAAUAUUAUGCUAUUAAACAUUCAUAUGAAGACCCAAAUCUACAUUUAUCUACCUCCUGCAGGUGUUUGCAGGCAAGUUUUUUUUGGCUCUUAACUACUUCAACUUCAAACCCAGGCUACUCUGAAACUUUAAAUGGUGCACGUGUGUGUGUGUGUGUGUGUGUGUGUGUGUGUGUGUGUGUGUGUGUGUGUGUGUGUCAGAGGGGUGUUUACAUCCUGCUACCAAUCAAAAACUGUCUGCUUAGAAUUUGUGGAAUCACACUGAGGUCGUUUCAGGUCAUUUUUUGUUGUACUGCAUU